rnacentral:lncRNA from 1 species
UUUUUUUUUUUUUUCGUUGAGCUUUUUCUUUAGGGUCCCUUAGAUGUCUUUUCUUAAUUUGAUGUUUUGUGCCUGAUCUUUAAUUUUCUCUCUCCUCAUCAUCUUGGCUAUGAGCUUGCACAUGCUUUUUUCCAGCGACUCCAUGGUGGUGUUUGAUUUGUGGUUCCCCAUAGUGUGCUGUAUUUGUAUUGGUCAGUAUGCUAAAUUUUAAGUGAGUUGCCGUUUGAAGUAAUCAAAUCUUCUCAGUGAUCUUAGUUGGUUAUGUUGGUGAGUUGGCAUGGUAUAAUUCCUCUAUUUGUGGCAUUACCCAGUUUAAGGAGCUUGCUAUUUGUAUGGGUUUCUCUUGCUGCAAAGAUGAGAAUGCUUUUUAUUGGAGGAUGUCCAAGCAAGAAUGAGUGUUCAGGGGGUUGUCUUGCCUCUUCCAAUAUUGGUUCUCUUUGUAUCAAGUAGUGAGAGUGUUGUUAUAACUUUGAGAUCUUUCCUUGACAGGUUUCCUUGAUUGCAGUGUUAAAUUGUGGAGCAUAAUGAAAUCAAUUGGAUAAUACUGAUCUUGGAAGUAUUCUCUUCUUCUUCUCCUGCCCUUUUGUGUUUUUUUCUUUUUUUUCCGUUGAGCUUUUUCUUUGGGGUCCCUUAGUUGUCUUUUCUUAAUUUGAUGUUUUGUGCCUGAUCUUUAAUUUUCUCUCUCCUCAUCAUCUUGGCUAUGAGCUUACACAUGCUUUUUUCCAGCGACUCCAUGUUGGUGUUUGAUUUGUGGUUCCCCAUAGUGUGCUGUAUUUGUAUUGGUCGGUAUGCUAAAUUUUGUAUUUUACUUAAACUGCUUUGAAUUGUACCCAUGAGUUGCCGUUUGAAGUAAUCAAAUCUUCUCAGUGAUCUUAGUAGGUUAUGUUGGUGAAUUGGUAUGGUAUAAUUCCUCUAUUUGUGGCAUCACCCAGUUUAAGGAGCUUGCUAUUUGUAUGGGUUUCUCUUGCUGCAAAGAUGAGAAUGCUUUUUGUUGGAGGAUGUCAAAGCAAGAAUGAGUGUUCAGGGGGUUGUCUUGCCUCUUCCAAUAUUGGUUCUUUCUUUGUAUCAAGUAGUGAGAGUGUUGUUAUAACUUUGAGAUCUUUCCUUGACAGGUUUCCUUGAUUACAGUGUUAAAUUGUGGAGCAUAAUGAAAUCAAUUGGAUGAUACUGAUCUUGGAAGUAUUCUCUUCUUCUCCUGCUCUUUUGUGUUUUUUUCUUUUUUUUCCAUUGAGCUUUUUCUUAGGGGUCCCUUAGUUGUCUUUUCUUAAUUUGAUGUUUUGUGCCUGAUCUUUAAUUUUCUGUCUCCUCAUCAUCUUGGCUAUGAGCUUGCACAUGCUUUUUUCCAGCGACUCCAUGGUGGUGUUUGAUUUGUGGUUCCCCAUAAUGUGCUGUAUUUGUAUUGGCUGGUAUGCUAAAUUUUGUAUUUUACUUAAACUGCUUUGAAUUGUACCCAUGAGUUGCCGUUUGAAGUAAUCAGAUCUUCUCAGUGAUCUUAGUUGGUUAUGUUGGUNNNN